rnacentral:rRNA from 1 species
GAUGAACGCUGGCGGCGUGCCUAAUACACGCAAGUCGAGCGAACGGACGAGAAGCUUGCUUCUCUGAUGUUAGCGGCAGACGGGUGAGUAACACGUGGAUAACCUACCUAUAAGACUGGGAUAACUUCGGGAAACCGGAGCUAAUACCGGAUAAUAUUUUGAACCGCAUGGUUCAAAAGUGAAAGACGGUCUUGCUGUCACUUAUAGAUGGAUCCGCGCUGCAUUAGCUAGUUGGUAAGGUAACGGCUUACCAAGGCAACGAUGCAUAGCCGACCUGAGAGGGUGAUCGGCCACACUGGAACUGAGACACGGUCCAGACUCCUACGGGAGGCAGCAGUAGGGAAUCUUCCGCAAUGGGCGAAAGCCUGACGGAGCAACGCCGCGUGAGUGAUGAAGGUCUUCGGAUCGUAAAACUCUGUUAUUAGGGAAGAACAUAUGUGUAAGUAACUGUGCACAUCUUGACGGUACCUAAUCAGAAAGCCACGGCUAACUACGUG